GAUCAGUAGCCGGACUGAGAGGUUGAACGGCCACAUUGGGACUGAGAUACGGCCCAGACUCCUACGGGAGGCAGCAGUCGGGAAUAUUGCGCAAUGGAGGAAACUCUGACGCAGUGACGCCGCGUAUAGGAAGAAGGUUUUCGGAUUGUAAACUAUUGUCGUUAGGGAAGAUACAAGACAGUACCUAAGGAGGAAGCUCCGGCUAACUACGUGCCAGCAGCCGCGGUAAUACGUAGGGAGCGAGCGUUAUCCGGAUUUAUUGGGUGUAAAGGGUGCGUAGACGGGAAUACAAGUUAGUUGUGAAAUACCUUGGCUUAACUGAGGAACUGCAACUAAAACUAUAUUUCUUGAGUACAGGAGAGGUAAGUGGAAUUCCUAGUGUAGCGGUGAAAUGCGUAGAUAUUAGGAGGAACACCAGUGGCGAAGGCGACUUACUGGACUGAAACUGACGUUGAGGCACGAAAGUGUGGGGAGCAAACAGGAUUAGAUACCCUGGUAGUCCACACCGUAAACGAUGGAUACUAGGUGUAGGAGAUAUUAAGUCUUCUGUGCCGUCGCAAACGCAGUAAGUAUCCCACCUGGGGAGUACGGCCGCAAGGUUGAAACUCAAAGGAAUUGACGGGGGCCCGCACAAGCAGUGGAGUAUGUGGUUUAAUUCGAAGCAACGCGAAGAACCUUACCAGGGCUUGACAUAUAGAUGAAUAUAUAAGAGAUUAUAUAGCUCUUCGGAGCAUCUAUACAGGUGGUGCAUGGUUGUCGUCAGCUCGUGUCGUGAGAUGUUGGGUUAAGUCCC
rnacentral:rRNA from 1 species